rnacentral:tRNA from 1 species
GCGCGGGUGGUGAAAUGGCAGACACACUAGCCUUAGGAGCUAGCGCCGCAAGGCAUGGAGGUUCAAGUCCUCUCCCGCGCACCA